UGGUGACAGAGUAAGAUGGAUCUCUGAAAACUAGGAAAAAGCUUGCAAGAAAAUGAAUCUAUUUAGCAGAUAUCUUUUGCUGGCAAGAAAGAAAUGGAAACAACAGGAACAACUGAAUCAACAUGACUCUUUUCAUGCAUUACAAUAAUUCUACAGUCAUUUUGAUU